UUUAGAUAACGUUUCUCAAUUCGGACUAACUACAGACAUACUACUCUUCAGCAACAGAGAAUCUUUCUGAAGUUUGAAGAACUGUAAGAGUCUUCAGCUUUUUAUUUCCUUGUAUCAACAGUGUCAGCCAGGAAGACAAACAGGAAGACUUGUUAAUCUGAGAAACGGAGAACAGGCGAAUACUGUUCAGGAGUAUAAAUAUUUAUCUUUACGCAGAUACAUAAAAAUGUUACAAAAAACCUUUUUUUUAUAGAUUCACAUCUUAUGGUUCAAGGGGAAACAUGUAAAAAAACUUCCCGCUUGCUAUUAGUUAAUAUACUUUUAACGUUUCUAUUUUCUAUUUAAAUACAAAAAUGACCGCUAAUAAUGAAAGUUUUAGUCAACGAAUGAACAAAUCUGUAAUUAAAUCAAGCUGAGGCAAAAACGAAGCGCAAUGUCAACCUACGAAUCGUGUGGAGGAAGAGUGGGCGAGACUGGUGUUUAUGCCAAGCCAGUAACUAGGUCUAUAUCACGGGAAGGCAACCAGCGCUGUAAACAGAUGCCACAUGAGGAGAAAGAACAGCGUGCCCGAGACGAGAGUUGAACCCAGGACACCCAUCCUUCACUGUAUGGGUGAUAGGCGCUAACCGUUGCGCCACCGGACCGCCUUGGUGCUCUGUGUGUUCUCCUGUGUAUACACCAUUUAAAAGCAAUGCCUUCUAGGUAUAAAUAUCUGAAAAGAUUUGUGACAACUGUGUCGAUAUGCAUCUUUACUUUUUUGGAAGAUUGUCGCGCGUGGAAAGUGCAGACUGUCAGCCAUGAUAUUAAUGUGGAAAACGGAGUGGAGUCCAACAUUGAUUUCUUCCUCACUGAUUACCGAUCUCUGAAUGGUAGUAUACGGAUAAUUGUCCAACAUCGGUCAAGUAAUGGAAGUUUUAGCAAAAAGUGUCGGAUUGAUCACUCAGACACAGGAGUCUGUCAGCCGACACUCGGUCCAUGCGAGUGUGUGGGUGAAAGUUCAGGAUCAUAUCGAUAUCGACUGAGGAUGACCUUUAGAGAGCCAGAUGGCGGCCAGUGGGUGUUCACCACUGGCAACAAUGAGGAGAUGUUUGUUAACAUUACAGUCAUUCCACGUCGUGCCUUUAAAAUCUACACCAAAAGCAAGAGUAUAACUGUUGAAAACGGACUGAAAUCGAAUGUCGACUUCUUUCUCAAUGAUUCUACAGCUGUAGAUAUCGGUGUGAGGAUAGUUGUUCAACAUCAAAACGUUGGUGGUGUGACAUUUGACCCUAAAUGUCACAUACACCACUCAAAGACAGGCGGAUGUCAAAUCUUAUUUGGCCCGUGUGAGUGCAUAGGUGAAAGGUCAGAGACAUAUCAAUACCGAUUGAGGAUGGUCUUUACACAACAAGAUGGCGGUCUGUGGAAGUUUGACAUUGUCAGUCACGAGGGGACAAUUGUUAACAUCACAGUCAUUGGUCAACAGAGUACAGAACGACCAGAAGUGAAGGGGUUAACACCAGUCAUUUCGGUCAUCACCGUUAUUGCCAUUCUCAUCAUCAUAUCGUUGGUCGCAGUCCUCCGGUGUCGUGCCAGGUCAGAACACACUCUCGAGGGCGAAGCAGCACAGAUGAAUGAAAUAACAGAAAUUAAUUCCAUGGACUGUCAACUGUAUCAUAUUCUUGAUAAAGUGGAAUACGUCGACCACGUAACGCAGACUUUAAGAGAAUCUUUGUCACGUGACGGACAGUCAGCUGACCGCCUUGGUCAAUCCACUGAUGUGGGUGACGUUCAGCUCUACACUGUGGUAGAAAUGCUUCAAUAACUCUCAUUUGGUAGGGUCAAAACAUUUAUAGUAAAGCCAUGGCGUUGUCAUCGAUUUCAAACAUCAGGAAGUAAGAAAGGGCAAAGGUCGAACAACUUCUGUGAAGUCACGUCGUCUGCUUUGGUCAGAUUGUCGCACGUGGAAAGUGCAGACCGACAGCCAUGAUAUUACUGUGGAAAAGGGAGUGGAGUCCAGCAUUGAUUUCUACCUCUCUGAUUAUCGAUCUCUGAAUGUUAGUCUACAACUAAUUGUCCAACAUCAGUCGACUGAUCGGCCUUUCGGCAAAAAAUGUCAGAUCGAGCACUCAGCCUCAGAAGUUUGUCACCCGACACUCGGUCCAUGUGAGUGUAUGGGUGAAAGUUCAGGGUCAUAUCGAUAUCGACUGAGGAUGACCUUUACACAGCAAGAUGGCGGCCAGUGGCUGUUCCAGAUUGUUAACCAUGGGACGACACGUGUUAACAUCACCGUCAUUCAAAGCAUCACUUCAUCACAAGAUCACCAAAGUACAGAGCCUGCACAAGUGACUGGUCUAACCCCUAUCUCGAAAGGCUACACUCUGUCAACUACAACCCUAUUCUUUUAAAUAUC
rnacentral:misc_RNA from 1 species